GACGAACCGUACGAACGUUAUUCGGAAUUACUGGGCUUAAAGGGUGCGUAGGCUGCGCAGAAAGUUGGGUGUGAAAUCCCUCGGCUUAACCGAGGAACUGCGCCCAAAACUACUGUGCUCGAGGGAGACAGAGGUGAGCGGAACUUAGGGUGGAGCGGUGAAAUGCGUUGAUAUCCUAAGGAACACCCGUGGCGAAAGCGGCUCACUGGUCUCUUCUGACGCUGAGGCACGAAAGCUAGGGUAGCGAACGGG
rnacentral:rRNA from 1 species